ACCCUGGCACCUCCCCACAGCCCCGCAUCGGACCCAAGGACAGUCCCAGGAGACGUGGGGGCGCUCACCCCUUUCGUGGACGGGAAACUGAGGCAGGCGGGUGAAGGUCGGCUCACAUGCGGAGCUCAGGUGGGUGGGGACCCUGGGCCAAGACCCUGUCUCAGUGCCUCAGUGGGGACUGGGUUGGAUGGGAGGGGGGAUACGGUGCAGGAGGAGGGGACUUAGAACCAGGGGGAGAGCGGAGAGCCUCCAGGAUGAACUAGGGGAGAAGGGAAUGGCAGCAGCGUUCGCUCCUAUUCACCGAACCCCUGGCUGGCUGACCCGGGAAAAACAGUCUACCAAUUUAUCUCAUAAAGUAACCCUAAAAUACUUCUGCAGGCAUCACCCUAUGUUCCAGGUGAGCCACUGAGGCUCAGGGAGGACAGAGGUGAAGGAUCUUGCCCCAGUCACAGGAGGAAUCACAGGCAGAAAGGGGGAGAUGGAAAGAGGAAGCUCUGGACGGACUCGGAGCUGCUCUGCCAAUCAAAUGCCCAUGGAGAUCUUGGGCAUCUUGAGGCAGUGGACGGUGACUUGGGCCUGGCUGGGGAAGCCGCCGACAACCUGUGGAAGACAGGGGUCCCAUGGCCAGGACAGGGGCCCAUCAGGGCAGCAGCAGUCCAUGCCCUCGGAGAUGGGAAGGACAAAGCUGGCUCCGGGCCCCAGGGCUGGGGAAAAGGAAGUAGCUCGGGGUAGUGCCCAGGCCCCAGGCUGUGCAAAUUAGGACUCUUGUCCUCUCUGGGCCUCAGUUUCUCAUCUGUGUGCUAGUGAAGCUAUUCCUACCCUGAACUCCUCUCUCAGGAUGUGCUGAGGAUGCCUUCACUUAGCCUUCUGGGCCUCACUUUCCUCAUCUGUAAAAUGGGGAUAAUCAUAGAUCCUACCUCAUAGGGUUGUCCUGAGGAUGGAAUGAGAUAAUCUGUGGAAAGAGCUUAGAACAGGACCUACUGCAUGGUAACCCUCCGAGGGAAGCUGCUGUAGCAGCUGGGCUAGGGGUGGGGAUAGAGCAGAGAGCGCAGGAGCUGCGGGCCAUAUCUGCAGGAGCCCAGCAUUUUCCAGGGCAUCCCAGAACAGAACGUAAAACUGCAGCUGAGGAGUAUUUAAAGGAGAGACACACCAGGCUGUGGCACGAGGGGACCUGACCUAGUCAGGGAGGUGGGAGAGGCCUUCCCUGAGGUGGCAGGAGGAGGAGCAGAUGGCAUGGGGGAGGGCAAACCAUUCUGGCAGAGGGGACAGUGUGGACAAGAGCCCUGUGGAAGGAACAUGGCCAAGAUAAGGAAUGCGCAGGCAGCCAGCGGGGCUGGGGAGUGUGGCCUGAGGACCUUCGAUUACAGCCUGUGGGACUGGGCUCAAGGAGAUCACAUGCCCCAAGAAACCACUGAACCGCUGGAUACACAAGAAAAGGUUUCAUUAAAUACAUAGCUCAGCUCAAAAGAAAGAAAGGGCCGGCGGGGUGCGGGAGCUCACACCUGUAAUCCCGGCACUUUGGGAGGCUGAGGCAGGAGGAUCAUUUGAGGUCAGGAGGUCAAGACCAGCCUGGCCAACAUGGUGAAACCCCGUCUCUACUAAAAAUACAAAAAAAUGAGCUGGGCACAGUGGUGCACCCCUGUAACCCCAGCCAAUCGGGAGGCUGAGGCACGAGAAUUGCUUGAACACAGGAGGCGUAGGUUGCAGUGAGCUGAGAUUGCGCCACUGCACUCCAGCCUGGGGAACAAGAGCGAGACUCUGUCUCAAAAAUAAAUAAAUUAAUUAAUUAAAUAAAAUAAAAUGAAAAUCUCAGUGGGUAAGUAAACAAAUAAGACACAGCUGUAAAAAGAAUUAAUGAACUAAAAAGAUACUUGAAGAAACUAUCCAGAAUUUAGGAUAGAGAUAAAAGAGAUGGAAAACACGACAGAGCAACUAAGAGACACGGAAAAUGGAAUGAGAUGGCCCAACGUGUGUCUCAUGGAAAUUCCAGGAGGUAGGCAUGGAGAAAAUAGGGAUGGGGCAAUCAUGGAAGAGAGAGUGAUGAAGAAAUUUCCAGAGCUGAUGGGCUGGGUGCUGUGGCUCACACCUGUAAUUUCAGCACUGAGGCAGGAGAAUUGCUUGAACCCGGAAGGUGGAGGUUGCAGUGAGUUGAGAUUGUGCUACUGCACUCCAGCCUGGGCCACAGAGCAAGACUCUGUCUUAAAAAAAAAAAAAAGAAAGAAAAGAAAAGAAAUUUCUAGAGCUGACAAAAGACCUCGUCAACUUUCAACUAAACAGUUACAAUUACGCUGGGUGGGAAACAACUAGAUGAAGAAGUAGACAGGAUGAGAAAAUGCAGGGCCCUGGAGGCCAUGGGAGAGCGUUUAGCCUGUAUCCUACACCGGCUUUAAGCAGGCAGGUGAAUGACCAGUUUUAUUUCUUGAAAAGAUUGUUCUGGCUGCUGUGGGGAACAGAUUAUUGGAGGGUAUCAGGACACAGGGAGACCCACCGGGAGCUACAGAUGGGUCCCCACUAGAGAUAAUGGUAGCCUGGGGAGGAGGUAGAGACAGAGAGAAAUGGAAAGACUAGAAAUAGGACAUCAAAGGAACAGGACUCAGACAAGGGGCUAAGGGAGAAGAGCCGGUCAGGGGCCUGCCCAAUAUUGUGAGUUGUGUAUGUGCAAGGAGAGAGGCAUCACAGAGCCGGGGAAGGCUGGACGGCCUGAGUUCAGAAGGGAAGAGGGACCGUCCUCUGUUAGAACAGGAGAACGGCCGCAGGAAGGCGCAGGUGUGGGUGAGUGGGUUGCGACUGGGAGCAGCGACGUGGGGGGGAAGUUCUGUUGGUGGCUCUGCUCAGCUCUCUGGUAAGCAGGUUGUGUGUGGAGAGGGAAGUGGAAGGUAGACAGGAGGGGGCAGCUGGAGAUUUGAGGAUGGCAGGGAAGGCCUGAAGAAGUCAUUGCAGUGGGUGGGGGGAGUGAGGUGACCAGAAAGCUGAGGGAGGCUUACUCAGAAAGCAUGAGGUCCAUUUGAGGUAGGAGAUCAUGGGUUCUUAGUGGAACCCUGCACUGAGGAGUGGGAUUAUGAACAUCAUUGCCACUGGGCAUAGCAAGAAGGGGCUGCGACCUCCAAGGAGCUUGCCUGAAGUCAGCUUUGGGAUCAGGAGUAAUCAACAGUCACUUAUUGCUGGGGCCCUCUGAGCCCAGAGUUGAUCCUGGGGUUCCAGCCCCCUACAAGUCCCUAUGCCUGGGAAAUGGAGCAGGGAAUGGAGCCUUAUCUUUGGGGGCAAUAGAGCUGGGCUCAAACCCAGCCUUGCCAUUCACUAAGUUUCCCUGUGUGUAAAAUGGGGACAGUUUGACCGCCCCACUCAUAGGGUCGGUGUGAGCACUGAAGGAAGUCACACACACUAAGUGCUUCACUCCAUGCCGAACAACCGAGUAGGAGCUGUGUUCGCUGUUAUAAUUGUUGCCAUUGGUGGUGUUAUUGGCUGUGUGGGGGCUCUUGAAGCCAGAGCAGGAUUGGGGUACGUGAGAUAAACCCCACACAGGGGCAGGGGGCAGUUACCUCUUGGAAGAUUUCCUGGUUGGUGUUGAAGCCCCAGGUCUCCAGCACUGCCUGAAAAGAAAUGAGGAAGUUGGAGGGUGGGUGGAGUAAAGUCCACUCCUCAGAAGAAAACUUCGCAGGGACCAAGGGCAGUUUCAAGGACUGGACCCCUCCUCAGACGCAACUCCCAACCUCCCAGACAACAUGUGAGAUGCUCUGGGCAGGGUGUGGAACAGGGAACCCCUGUCCCGGCUGGAGGCCUGGCUUCUGCUCCCCACUGUGCCCCACACAUGCUGUGUGACCUCGCACAAGUCUCUUCCCCUCUGUGGGCCUCAGUUUCCUCAUGAGUUCAAUGACAAGCACAGCCUGGAAACUACCUAAGCAUUUCUAGUACAGUAUAGGUGAAGAGUACAGGCUUUGGGGCCACCUCUUACAGGCUGUGUGAUCUUCAGUAAGUCACCUACCUUCUCUGAGCUUUGUGGUUUUUUUGUUUGCAAAACAGAGGUAACAGUACUUAUUUCACAGGAUGAGUGCAACAAAACAAAGUGUAGCAAAUAUAACUGCAAUAAAUGUAAGUCUAAUAUCAACUUAUAUUUAAUGCACAGUUACUACGUGCCAAGUUAUAUCUAUACCUAAAUCUAUUGAUCACUCUGUCUAUCUAUCCAUCUAUCUAUCUGGCAACACAUAGUUGACUCCAAUAAAUGCUGGACUGUAUUUUUUUCUUGAGAUGGAGUCCUACUCUGUCACCCACACUGGAGUGCAGUGGUGCCAUCAUAGCUCACUGCAGCCUCAACCUCUUGGGCUCAAGUGAUCCUCCCUCCUCAGCCACCUGAGUAGUUGGGACUAUAGGUAUGCACCGCCGUGCACAGCUGAUUUUUAAACUUAUUUUUAUUUUUGUAGAGACAGGGGUCUCCCCAUGUUGCCCAGGCUGGUCUUGAACUCCUGGCCUCCAGGGACCCUCCUGUCUCUGAGAGAAGAGAGACAGACCCUCUCAUAUUGUUUUAUAUUGUUUUAUACUCAGAAAAAGAAAGAGAAGCGAAACUAAAGGCAGGUAGCCCAACGCCUAGAGACCAGACCCGAAACCAAGGAACCAGACCCGAAACCAGGCCUGGGCCUACCUGACCUAAGCCUGGUAGUUAAAGAUGGACCCCUGACCUAACCAGUUAUGUUAUCUAUAGAUUCCAGACAUUGCAUGAAAGAGCAUUGUAAAAAUCCCUGUCCUGUUCUGUUUCGUUCUGAUUACCGGUGCAUGCAGCCCCCAGUCACGUACCUGCUACUUGCUCAAUAGAUCACGACCCUCUCAUGCAGACCCCCUUAGAGUUGUGAGCCCUUAAAAGGGACAGGAAUUGCUCACUCGGAGAGCUCCGCUCUUGAGACAGGAGUCUUACCCAUGCUCCCGGCUGAAUAAAC
rnacentral:lncRNA from 1 species